GUCUACAGUAUAUCUCAAUGGGUUUGGUCCAGGUCUAUAUCUCAAUGGGUUUGGUCCAGGUCUAUAUCUCAAUGGGUUUGGUCCAGGUCUACAGUAUAUCUCAAUGGGUUUGGUCCAGGUCUACAGUAUAUCUCAAUGGGUUUGGUCCAGGUCUACAGUAUAUCUCAAUGGGUUUGGUCCAGGUCUAUAGUAUAUCUCAAUGGGUUUGGUCCAAGUCUAUAUCUCAAUGGGUUUGGUCCAGGUCUACAGUAUAUCUCAAUGGGUUUGGUCCAGGUCUAUAGUAUAUCUCAAUGGGUUUGGUCCAGGUCUAUAUCUCAAUGGGUUUGGUCCAGGUCUACAGUAUAUCUCAAUGGGUUUGGUCCAGGUCUACAGUAUAUCUCAAUGGGUUUUGG
ensembl:lncRNA